UACGUAGGGCGCAAGCGUUAUCCGGAAUUAUUGGGCGUAAAGAGCUCGUAGGCGGUUUGUCGCGUCUGCCGUGAAAGUCCGGGGCUCAACUCCGGGAUCUGCGGUGGGUACGGGCAGACUAGAGUGAUGUAGGGGGAGACUGGAAUUCCUGGUGUAGCGGUGAAAUGCGUAGAUAUCGAGAGGAACACCUGCGGCGAAGGCGGGGUCAUCUGGGCCAACACAUGACGCUGAGGCGCGAAAAGC
rnacentral:rRNA from 1 species